rnacentral:rRNA from 1 species
GAUGAACGCUGGCGGCGUGCCUAAUACAUGCAAGUCGAGCGAACAGACGAGGAGCUUGCUCCUCUGACGUUAGCGGCGGACGGGUGAGUAACACGUGGAUAACCUACCUAUAAGACUGGGAUAACUUCGGGAAACCGGAGCUAAUACCGGAUAAUAUAUUGAACCGCAUGGUUCAAUAGUGAAAUACGGUUUUGCUGUCACUUAUAGAUGGAUCCGCGCCGCAUUAGCUAGUUGGUAAGGUAACGGCUUACCAAGGCAACGAUGCGUAGCCGACCUGAGAGGGUGAUCGGCCACACUGGAACUGAGACACGGUCCAGACUCCUACGGGAGGCAGCAGUAGGGAAUCUUCCGCAAUGGGCGAAAGCCUGACGGAGCAACGCCGCGUGAGUGAUGAAGGUCUUCGGAUCGUAAAACUCUGUUAUUAGGGAAGAACAAAUGUGUAAGUAACUAUGCACGUCUUGACGGUACCUAAUCAGAAAGCCACGGCCAACUACGUG